rnacentral:rRNA from 1 species
AGAGUUUGAUCCUGGCUCAGGAUGAACGCUGGCGGCGUGCCUAACACAUGCAAGUCGAACGGAUUUUUCAUGAAGCCUAGCGAUUGAAAAGUUAGUGGCGGACGGGUGAGUAACGCGUGGGUAACCUGCCUUGUACUGGGGGACAACAGGUUGGAAACGACUGCUAAUACCGCAUAAGCGCACAGCUUCGCAUGAAGCAGUGUGAAAAACUCCGGUGGUACAAGAUGGACCCGCGUCUGAUUAGCUGGUUGGUGAGGUAACGGCCACCAAGGCAACGAUCAGUAGCCGGCCUGAGAGGUGAACGGCCACAGUUGGGACUGAGACACGGCCCAAACGUCCUACGGGAGGCA